AACAGAGAAUGCAAACUAUAUCAGGAAUUAUUGGGCGUAAAGCGUUCGUAGGAGGUUUGACCAGUCUGGGGUUAAAGCCCGGAGCCCAACUCCGGAUCGGCCCUGGACACUGUCAGACUUGAGUAAGGUAGGGGUUGCGGGAAUUCCCGGUGUAGCGGUGAAAUGCGUAGAUAUCGGGAAGAACACCAGCGGCGAAAGUGCGUAACUGGGCCAUUACAGACACUGAGGGACGAAAGCUAGGGGAGCGAAUGGG
rnacentral:rRNA from 1 species